UACGUAGGGUGCGAGCGUUGUCCGGAAUUAUUGGGCGUAAAGAGCUCGUAGGCGGUGUGUCGCGUCGGCCGUGAAAACCUGGGGCUCAACUCUGGGCGUGCGGUCGAUACGGGGCAUCACUGGAGUUCGGGCAGGGGAGACUGGAAUUCCUGGUGUAGCGGUGAAAUGCGCAGAUAUCAGGAAGAACACCCGUGGCGAAGGCGGCUCUCUGGGACGGUACUGGACGGCUGAGACGCGAAAGCGUGGGGAGCGAACAGG
rnacentral:rRNA from 1 species